ensembl:lncRNA
GUAACUCUUACUCUGUUUCAGAUAGAAACGUAUAACUCUUACUCUGUUUCAGAUAGAACGUGUAACUCUUACUCUGUUUCAGAUAGAACGUGUAGACUUUAUAACGUGUAACUCUUACUCUGUUUAUGAUAGAAACGUGUAACUCUUACUCUGUUUCAGAUAGAACGUGUAACUCUUACUCUGUUUAUGAUAGAAACGUGUAACUCUUACUCUGUUUAUGAUAGAACGUGUAACUCUUAUUCUGUUUCAGAUAGAAACGUGUAACUCUUACUCUGUUUAUGAUAGAACGUGUAACUCUUACUCUGUUUCAGAUAGAACGUGUAACUCGUACUCUGUUUCAGGUAGAACGUGUAACUCUUACUCUGUUUCAGAUAGAACGUGUAGACUUUAUAACGUGUAACUCUUACUCUGUUUCAGAUAGAACGUGUAACUCUUACUCUGUUUCAGAUAGAACGUGUAGACUUUAUAACGUGUAACUCUUACUCUGUUUAUGAUAGAACGUGUAACUCUUACUCUGUUUCAGAUAGAACGUGUAACUCGUACUCUGUUUCAGGUAGAACGUGUAGACUUUAUAACGUGUAACUCUUACUCUGUUUCAGCUAGAAUGUGUAACUCUUACUCUGUUUAUGAUAGAACGUGUAACUCUUACUGUUUAUGAUAGAACAUGUAACUCUUACUCUGUUUAUGAUAGAAUGUGUAACUCGUACUCUGUUUCAGGUAGAACGUGUAACUCUUACUCUGUUUCAGAUAGAACGUGUAACUCUUACUCUGUUUAUGAUAGAA